ACCAUAUACACAAGAAAAUAAGACCCAAGGAAAACAGAGACCUUAAACUGAGCACCAGAAACACAAAGCGAGACAUUCAGAAAGCGCUUUAGUCUGGUAGGAGCAGCUGAACACCAGGCUGCAAUGCAAAAAAAGACCGAUCCCUCCUGGGAAUGUUCUCAGCAGAGCUGCUCCCUGCCCGAGGGCAGGAGCUGCCAUAGCCCUUCCCAGUCCCAGUUUUCACCCCCGAUGCAGAGAAUCUACGUUCUUCAGCUCGAAAAUGCACUUUCUUUGUGCCGCUUCGGAAGAUACGCCCGAACAGAGAAAUCCAAACGCGUGGAACGGUUCAAAAAACCGUGAGCUCUCUUCGCUGCGAGCCGCUAGGAGGAAGGUGAUGAACACCUCUCAACCUUGGAAUACACUGAGAUUGAUGGAACGAACGUAGCGAUAACAUAACCUUUACAAAACGUUGUUUUCAGGGCAAAUACCACUUUGUGCACAGGCUUAACUGAGAAGAUGCUGCACCACCCAGCAGCACGAAGCAGCUCCCAGAGCAGUAAUGAGUAGGAGACAACUGGACUUUGAAUCUGCCACGAGAAACCAGGAUGGCCAUCACAAAAAAUGAUGCUCUGGUGUUCAUCUGCGGAGGAGUUUUCUGCAGGAAAGCAUAUUAAGGCUGGAUGCAUUACCAAAUUCCUCUGCAACCAGUGUGAUACUGGUCUUGAGGGGGAUGCUGGGGAAGAAAUACACAAUGGACUGGAAAAUACCAUACACAGGGGCUAGUCUGGUGGCCAUACAUUUGCAAGAACCACCAUGAUGUUUAUCCAGGGCUACUCCCUGCACUUAGAUAUCCAGUGCUGGCCAUGAGACAGCUCAAAUCAGCAUCUCCACGAGGAGUUCCCAACACAUCCAGGACUUCUGUUGACAGCAGGAAUAAACUGGCAGACUUUUCCUUUCCAAGUGCCUGGUGUUUCUGGGACUCCUAAAGAGGUCACAGCUACGCACACACUGCUGAAUGUUAUUGUUCCUC